GGAUGAACGCUGGCGGCGUGCCUAAUACAUGCAAGUCGAGCGAACAGAUAAGGAGCUUGCUCCUUUGACGUUAGCGGCGGACGGGUGAGUAACACGUGGGUAACCUACCUAUAAGACUGGAAUAACUCCGGGAAACCGGGGCUAAUGCCGGAUAACAUUUAGAACCGCAUGGUUCUAAAGUGAAAGAUGGUUUUGCUAUCACUUAUAGAUGGACCCGCGCCGUAUUAGCUAGUUGGUAAGGUAACGGCUUACCAAGGCAACGAUACGUAGCCGACCUGAGAGGGUGAUCGGCCACACUGGAACUGAGACACGGUCCAGACUCCUACGGGAGGCAGCAGUAGGGAAUCUUCCGCAAUGGGCGAAAGCCUGACGGAGCAACGCCGCGUGAGUGAUGAAGGUCUUCGGAUCGUAAAACUCUGUUAUUAGGGAAGAACAAAUGUGUAAGUAACUGUGCACGUCUUGACGGUACCUAAUCAGAAAGCCACGGCUAACUACGUG
rnacentral:rRNA from 1 species